GGAUGUGAGCUGUCUGGCUGUGACUUCUGCCCCCUGCUGAUUGCCAGGGUUCAUUCACCGAUCUGGCUGGCUAUGUGGGCUCCAUAUGUGUAUGCCAUUCUGUCAUUUCCCAAGUUGCACACUAAGCGUAAGAGGACCUGCCACAGAGGUGUGCCCCUCCUCAGUUAAGGGUAUACAGCAGCACUCCCCCAACGGGAUUCCAGAUGAGUUCUCAAAUAGACUUACUGCUCAGGAUCUGUCAUCUGUUAUCUCCAGUCUUU
ensembl:misc_RNA 7SK 7SK RNA